rnacentral:rRNA from 1 species
UACGUAGGGGGCAAGCGUUAUCCGGAUUUACUGGGUGUAAAGGGGGCGCAGACGGCGAUGCAAGCCAGGAGUGAAAGCCCGGGGCCCAACCCCGGGACUGCUCUUGGAACCGCGUGGCUGGAGUGCAGGAGGGGCAGGCGGAAUUCCUGGUGUAGCGGUGAAAUGCGUAGAUAUCAGGAGGAACACCGGUGGCGAAGGCGGCCUGCUGGACUGCAACUGACGUUGAGGCCCGAAAACGUGGGGAGCAAACAGG